UGUGUAGGCGGAUCGUUAAGUACCUUGUGAAAUCCCACGGCUUAACCGUGGAACUGCUUGGUAUACUGGCGAUCUUGAGCCACUUAGGGGCUACCGGAACAAAUGGUGGAGCGGUGAAAUGCGUAGAUAUCAUUUGGAACGCCAAUGGUGAAAACAGGUAGCUGGGAGUGUGCUGACGCUGAGACACGAAAGCCAGGGGAGGCAAAACGG
rnacentral:rRNA from 1 species